rnacentral:rRNA from 1 species
CUUGGUUCAGGAUGAACGCUAGCGACAGGCCUAACACAUGCAAGUCAGGGGCAGCACAAGGAGCAAUCUGAGGUGGCGACCGGCGCACGGGUGAGUAACACGUAUGCAACCUGCCUGUAAGCGGGGAAUAACCCGUUGAAAGACGGACUAAUACCGCAUAAUACUAAAUUACUGCAUGGUAAUUUAUUUAAACAUUUAUGGCUUACAGAUGGGCAUGCGCAUGAUUAGCUAGUUGGAGAGGUAACGGCUCCCCAAGGCAACGAUCAUUAGGGGUUCUGAGAGGAAGGUCCCCCACACUGGUACUGAGACACGGACCAGACUCCUACGGGAGGCAGCAGUGAGGAAUAUUGGUCAAUGGACGAGAGUCUGAACCAGCCAAGUCGCGUGCAGGAAGAAUGUCCCUAUGGAUUGUAAACUGCUUUUGCAGGGGAAUAAAGUGCAUCACGUGUGAUGUUUUGUAUGUACUCUGCGAAUAAGGAUCGGCUAACUCCGUGCCAGCCGCGGC